CGGGCCAUGGCGCAGUUGGUAGCGCGCGCGCUUUGGGAGCGCGAGGUCGACAGUUCGAGUCUGUCUGGCCCGA
rnacentral:tRNA from 1 species